rnacentral:rRNA from 1 species
GAUGAACGCUGGCGGCGUGCCUAAUACAUGCCAGUCGAGCGAACGGACGAGAAGCUUGCUUCUCUGAUGUUAGCGGUGGACGGGUGAGUAACACGUGGAUAACCUACCUAUAAGACUGGGAUAACUUCGGGAAACCGGAGCUAAUACCGGAUGAUAUUUUGAACCGCAUGGUUCAAAAGUGAAAGACGGUCUUGCUGUCACUUAUAGAUGGAUCCGCGCUGCAUUAGCUAGUUGGUAAGGUAACGGCUUACCAAGGCAACGAUGCAUAGCCGACCUGAGAGGGUGAUCGGCCACACUGGAACUGAGACACGGUCCAGACUCCUACGGGAGGCAGCAGUAGGGAAUCUUCCGCAAUGGGCGAAAGCCUGACGGAGCAACGCCGCGUGAGUGAUGAAGGUCUUCGGAUCGUAAAACUCUGUUAUUAGGGAAGAACAUAUGUGUAAGUAACUGUGCACAUCUUGACGGUACCUAAUCAGAAAGCCACGGCUAACUACGUG